UACGGGGGGAGCAAGCGUUGUUCGGAUUUACUGGGCGUAAAGGGCGCGUAGGCGGCGCAACAAGUCACUUGUGAAAUCUCCGGGCUUAACCCGGAGCGGCCAAGUGAUACUGUCGUGCUAGAGUGCGGAAGGGGCUACUGGAAUUCUCGGUGUAGCGGUGAAAUGCGUAGAUAUCGAGAGGAACACCUGCGGCGAAGGCGGUUCUCUGGGCCUGUUCUGACGCUGAGGAGCGAAAGCGUGGGGAGCGAACAGG
rnacentral:rRNA from 1 species